rnacentral:rRNA from 1 species
AGAGUUUGAUCCUGGCUCAGGAUGAACGCUGACAGAAUGCUUAACACAUGCAAGUCUACUUGAUCCUUCGGGUGAAGGUGGCGGACGGGUGAGUAACGCGUAAAGAACUUGCCUUACAGACUGGGACAACAUUUGGAAACGAAUGCUAAUACCGGAUAUUAUGAUUGGGUCGCAUGAUCUGGUUAUGAAAGCUAUAUGCGCUGUGAGAGAGCUUUGCGUCCCAUUAGUUAGUUGGUGAGGUAACGGCUCACCAAGACGAUGAUGGGUAGCCGGCCUGAGAGGGUGAACGGCCACAAGGGGACUGAGACACGGCCCUUACUCCUACGGGAGGCAGCAGUGGGGAAUAUUGGACAAUGGACCAAAAGUCUGAUCCAGCAAUUCUGUGUGCACGAUGAAGUUUUUCGGAAUGUAAAGUGCUUUCAGUUGGGAAGAAGUCAGUGACGGUACCAACAGAAGAAGCGACGGCUAAAUACGUGCCAGCAGCCGCGGUAAUACGUAUGUCGCAAGCGUUAUCCGGAUUUAUUGGGCGUAAAGCGCGUCUAGGCGGCUUAGUAAGUCUGAUGUGAAAAUGCGGGGCUCAACCCCGUAUUGCGUUGGAAACUGCUAAACUAGAGUACUGGAGAGGUAGGCGGAACUACAAGUGUAGAGGUGAAAUUCGUAGAUAUUUGUAGGAAUGCCGAUGGGGAAGCCAGCCUACUGGACAGAUACUGACGCUAAAGCGCGAAAGCGUGGGUAGCAAACAGGAUUAGAUACCCUGGUAGUCCACGCCGUAAACGAUGAUUACUAGGUGUUGGGGGUCGAACCUCAGCGCCCAAGCUAACGCGAUAAGUAAUCCGCCUGGGGAGUACGUACGCAAGUAUGAAACUCAAAGGAAUUGACGGGGACCCGCACAAGCGGUGGAGCAUGUGGUUUAAUUCGACGCAACGCGAGGAACCUUACCAGCGUUUGACAUCCCAAGAAGUUAACAGAGAUGUUUUCGUGCCUCUUCGGAGGAACUUGGUGACAGGUGGUGCAUGGCUGUCGU